GACGAACGCUGGCGGCGUGCCUAAUACAUGCAAGUAGAACGCUGAAGGAGGAGCUUGCUCUUCUGGAUGAGUUGCGAACGGGUGGGUAACGCGUAGGUAACCUGCCUGGUAGCGGGGGAUAACUAUUGGAAACGAUAGCUAAUACCGCAUAACAGUAGAUGUUGCAUGACAUUUGCUUAAAAGGUGCAAUUGCACCACUACCAGAUGGACCUGCGUUGUAUUAGCUAGUUGGUGGGGUAACGGCUCACCAAGGCGACGAUACAUAGCCGACCUGAGAGGGUGAUCGGCCACACUGGGACUGAGACACGGCCCAGACUCCUACGGGAGGCAGCAGUAGGGAAUCUUCGGCAAUGGACGGAAGUCUGACCGAGCAACGCCGCGUGAGUGAAGAAGGUUUUCGGAUCGUAAAGCUCUGUUGUAAGAGAAGAACGAGUGUGAGAGUGGAAAGUUCACACUGUGACGGUAUCUUACCAGAAAGGGACGGCUAACUACGUG
rnacentral:rRNA from 1 species